AGAUUCUGUCGCAAAAGCUGUCUGCAGAACGACUGUCUCCUUCUAUCAAGACAAGCAGAAGGCGCCUUUUACCUGCUGGAGGGAGGGAUGAAAAGACCGUCGGCAGAAAUAUCCUCUUGAUGACAGAAAAUUUCAUAUACACCAGCAUUUCCCCAAGGAGGGAUAUUAAGGAGGAAUAGAACAGCUUGCUCUGAUCAAGGCUGCAUUCCCUUAAGACUGAAGUGUUGGUUAAAAGAGAAAGAAACAUCCAAAAUCCUACCUGAUUACACAAUGGUCAAAUAUUGCCACUGCUGUUCUUCUCGUCAUCCUCUUCCCUCCAUGACCAACACACACAAAAAUUGAGAUCUGAUGAGAUUUUGCAGAACAGCUUAAAUAUUUCUACUUCACUGGGAACUUCUUUGUAUUUUCUGCAAAUCCUUGUAAUCAUACAUUAUACACUGAUAUAAUAUGCUAUGCUAUGUGGUUGAUUAAUUUAAUGGAAACGUGGUUUCACUACAAAUUUUUGUCUCUCUAAAGGAAUCCUCAACAAUAAAUAUGGCUGCAUCCUUGA